UACAGAGGUCCCAAGCGUUGUUCGGAUUCACUGGGCGUAAAGGGUGCGUAGGCGGUCGGGUAAGUCUGAUGUGAAAUCUCACAGCUUAACUGUGAAACUGCAUUGGAUACUAUUCGGCUUGAGAGUUGGAGGGGGGACUGGAAUUCUCGGUGUAGCAGUGAAAUGCGUAGAUAUCGGGAGGAACACCAGUGGCGAAGGCGGUUGCCUGGGGCUUUGCUGACGCUGAUGCGCGAAAGCGUGGGGAGCGAUCCGG
rnacentral:rRNA from 1 species